UACGGAGGGUGCGAGCGUUGUCCGGAAUCAUUGGGCGUAAAGGGCGCGUAGGUGGCCCGGUCAGUUCGUGGUGAAAGCCCCGGGCUCAACCCGGGAACUGCAUCCGAAACCAUCUCGCUAGAGUAUGGGAGAGGGAAGCGGAAUUCCUGGUGUAGAGGUGAAAUUCGUAGAUAUCAGGAGGAACACCUGCGGCGAAGGCGGCUUCCUGGCCCAUUACUGACGUUCAGGUACGAAAGCGUGGGUAGCAAACAGG
rnacentral:rRNA from 1 species